rnacentral:rRNA from 1 species
AGAGUUUGAUCCUGGCUCAGGACGAACGCUGGCGGCGUGCCUUAACACAUGCAAGUCGAGCGGGGAACUUUCGGGUUCCCCAGCGGCGGACGGGUGAGUAACACGUGGGUAACCUGCCUUGUAGAGGGGGGAUAGCCUUCCGAAAGGAAGAUUAAUACCGCGUAACAUUAUGCUUUCGCAUGAGAGUAUAAUCAAAGGAGCAAUCCGCUGCAAGAUGGACCCGCGGCGCAUUAGCUAGUUGGUGAGGUAACGGCUCACCAAGGCGACGAUGCGUAGUCGGCCUGAGAGGGUGAACGGCCACAUUGGAACUGAGACACGGUCCAGACUCCUACGGGAGGCAGCAGUGGGGAAUAUUGCACAAUGGGCGAAAGCCUGAUGCAGCAACGCCGCGUGAGUGAUGAAGGCCUUCGGGUUGUAAAGCUCUGUCUUCUGGGACGAUAAUGACGGUACCAGAGGAGGAAGCCACGGCUAACUACGUGCCAGCAGCCGCGGUAAUACGUAGGUGGCAAGCGUUGUCCGGAUUUACUGGGCGUAAAGGAUGCGUAGGCGGAUACUUAAGUCAGAUGUGAAAAUCCCGAGCUUAACUUGGGAACUGCAUUUGAAACUGGGUAUCUAGAGUGCGGGAGAGGAGAGUGGAAUUCCUAGUGUAGCGGUGAAAUGCGUAGAGAUUAGGAAGAACACCAGUGGCGAAGGCGACUCUCUGGACCGUAACUGACGCUGAGGCAUGAAAGCGUGGGGAGCAAACAGGAUUAGAUACCCUGGUAGUCCACGCCGUAAACUAUGAAUACUAGGUGUGGGAGUUGUCAUGACUUCCGUGCCGCAGUUAACACAAUAAGUAUUCCGCCUGGGGAGUACGGUCGCAAGAUUAAAACUCAAAGGAAUUGACGG